CUGAAGAGGGCAGCAGCCAUUUAUUUUGGGCUCACCCCUAAUGAGGUCAGUGUUUUAGGACAGGCACACAUGUAUGCUAUGUCCAUACUUUAAUUAAUAAAUAUGAACAAAUAACAUAAACAUAAACACACAAAUGUACAUCAACUUUUUAUGACCCCUUCAUGUCAGAAAAUUUGCCUUCGAGCUGGCAGUGCAUUUCAGCUGCCCAUUCCCUGCAUCCUGGUCGAGGAAGAGCAUGGCGGGGAAGGACUGGUUCAACUCCUUCAUGGAGCGCAGUGUCAGCCUCUCCCUUCGGUGUCCAGAGGCCACUAGCCAACAAACACAACUAUUUACAGGGGUCACCACUGUCCAGGUGCCAGACCGUGUCGUCGCCCAAAUGGGGCAGAGCAGGUCAGGUCAGUGACCUCAGCGGAAAGGGGGACCCUGGUCACAGUUGCGCUGGCAGGCAAUGCAACCUUCCCACCGAGUAGGGUCCAGCUGCAGCCCCGGAGAACAACACCCUGGCGUGACAACAACCCUGGCGCGACGGAAGUACUCUGGCGUGACGGAAGUGAUUUUUUUUUUUUUUAAAUGUACACACCGCUAAAUCGGAAACCAAAGAUGAACCAUGGAAUAUGCUUGGUACCUUGCCAUGGAGGCACCGUUUAACUUCACUGUUAAAGACAUGCAGUCCUCAGAAAAUUGUGGUGCACAGUACUGCUUGAGAACUUCCAACUGGAUGGGCACGGCAGAAGGUUCCCACACUUCAUGGAGGAGGCCAAACAAAUGGCGGUUGACUACUUCCACCAGUCUUCAGACUGAAGCGAAAAAGAGAAUGAGUUGGAGCUGAUGGCAGUCAGCAUGAAGAAGCUAUAUCUUUAAGAUUCUGUAGAUUAUUUGUUAAAUAAAUUGUGAGGAAACUUU